rnacentral:rRNA from 1 species
AUUGAACGCUGGCGGCAGGCCUAACACAUGCAAGUCGAGCGGAGCGGCGGACGGGCGAGUAAUGCCCAGGAAUCUGUCUGGUAGUGGGGGGGAACGUCCGGAAACGGGCGCUAAUACCGCCUAUUAUCAGAUGAGCCCAGGUGGGAUUAGCUAGUGGGUAGGGUACAGGCCUACCAAGGCGACGCUCCGUAACUGGCCUGAGAGGAUGAUCAGUCACACUGGAACUGAGACACGGUCCAGACUCCUACGGGAGGCAGCAGUGGGGAAUAGUGGACAAUGGGCGAAAGCCUGAUCCAGCCAUGCCGCGUGUGUGAAGAAGGUCUUCGGAUUGUAAGGCACUUUAAGUUGGGAGGCGUUACCAACAGAAUAAGCACCGGCUAACUUCGUGCCAGCAGCCGCGGUAAUAC